rnacentral:SRP_RNA from 1 species
ACGCGGGGCCCGUGCGAUGCAGGCCUGUGAACCCCGUCAGAUCCGGAAGGAAGCAGCGGUAAGCGGACCCCUGCAGGCGCCGCGGGGAAACCUGAUUCGG